GGGGUCCUCUCGGGCGCGGCGCGGAGCGGCCCCCCCUCAGCCCGGCACCGCGCCCCUUUCCCCGGGCCGCGCCGCGGAUUACGCGCAAAUCGCCUCGGCCUUAAGCCUGUUUGCGGCCGCUCGGGCUGUCGGGGAGCGCCCGGGGCGUGCGGGCGGCCCUUCACGCCGCCUCCCCGCUGCCCCGGACCGGACGGGCCCGAAGACCUCCGGCCAUCAUCGGGGGCGGCGGGCUCCGAGCUCGGCGCCCUCUGCCCUCUCAGGAGGGGCCUGAGGGGAUGAGAACAUAGGGGGCAGCCCUACUGAGCAGCCCAUUGCCCCCGCUGGAGGAUCUGGGCUCAGCAGCUGGUCCCACGUGUAGGACGAGCACUGCGACGUGAGCUGGGACGUGGUCCCUGGCUGGGAUAUGGGCCCUGCGUUAAAGGCAGACCCGAGAUGGACACCGUGCACAUCCAUUUCUGGGGCCACCACGCCUUAAGGAGCAGCACGUUGCCCUCCACCAAGCCUUUUAUUAACACACACAGUGUUUACUUGGAGGCUUCUCAGUUUACGAGUUACCAGCGUACCCUUGAACACCAGCCAGCGUCUCACAUGGCUCUUCAAGCAGAUCUCGUAUCUCCUACAAACUCAACACUUUCACUGAUUUGUUUUUUUCCCUUGCUGUACCACCUUAGGAUAUGUGGAAGAGCAGAAUUUCAGAGGAGCUAGGAAAUGAAGCUUCAUCAACGUGUGAAGCCACAUUGUCCUUUUCUCCAGUGUUUCUCUGUUACUUGCCUGCCCUUUUGAGUUCGCGGUUGCCAGGUUUGGUCACAGAAAGUAAUCUCUGGGCUGUAACCUCAGAAGGGAGCAAACCAGAUGACUGACAGCAGGUUACUUUUUUGAUGAUGGUGAGAAAUUGUGCACAAUUGUCCGAGGAUGUUUGAUCUCCUUCCCUUUACUCCCAGGGGCAUGCUGCUGUGUUUUCAGAGGCGCAAGGGAACUUAGGUUGAGGAGGUGCUGCUCGCUAAAUUAAACCAUGGCACCUGUCCCCUGGAGGAAGGGGGUGGUGGUUUGGGAGGAGACCCUCCCAGAGGUCUACGGAUGGACCAAAUGGUAUUAAUCUCCUUUUCCAACCUUAACAAUUCUGUAAGUCCAUCAUUCAGAGAGCAGUCUUCACAGCUGGCCUGGGAGCAGGAAGUGAGCCUAUAGCUGGUCUGCCAGACUGCAUCAAAACAUCUCCAACACAGCCUGGGGGCUUGUUUCAUUUCAUCCUGUUUUUUUGACUCCGUUCCAAGUUGUGUUUUUGUGUGUUGUUUUUAUUUUCUUUCCCUUCAAGUUUUUCCACUUAGUCUAGACAUUUGGGUUUGAAUUUCUCAGUAGUCCGCUGUAUAUGCUGCGUUCAAAGAUGUCUCAUAUCCUUCUGUCUCUUCUGUUCCCUGCCCUUAAUGACUCAGUGAGAACUGGAUCAACAAAGUGAACGCUUCAUUAUUGACAUUUUUUUUACAUGAAACGCGUUGAAAAUAGUAACACAUGCCUGCCUUCUCUAAGCAAAAUAUUUUGGCUGUGUUGGACACGCUGAAACAUACAGAUUUUGAAAUCAAUACAAAUGUUUUGUUUAGACACUCACAAGAAAACCCCCAUCUCUUGAAGUAUUUCCAUUCUUUGUGGGAAAAAAAAAAAAAAAAUCCUUUCCAUUGAAGAACUUGCCAUUUUCUUUCCCUAAAUUGAGGCAGAAAGACCUUAAAACAAUGAUUUUGUUCAUGUUUUUUUUUUCUGCAUAUUUUCGCCAGCAUUGCCUUUAGCGUGUACCAUAUAAAGAAUAUAUGCUAAUGUUCAUCAACUGAUGCUAGCAUCAGAUUUCCUUCUUUUCUUGGCACAUAAUACACACGCCUACUUUGAGUAAAUUCUUCAAGGAAAUGUUGCUCAUUCUCCUCAUAGUAGAUAUGCCAGUUGGAUUCUUUUCUGUUAAGUAAUUUUGGAUACCAUCCAAAGGUAAGGUUUGAUCAACGUGGCAACUGGGUAGUUCCUGCCAGACAGAUAGGUGGUAACAACCCACAGGAAAUGUAUUACAAGCAGAGAAAAACGCACUCAGUUUUCAACCCUUCGGAUAGAGCCAAAGAAACGCCAUGGGUUAAGAAACACAUUUAAAACUAAAGGUAUGUUUUAUUAUUGGCAAAAUCCUGAUACCUGUCUUGAAGCCCACUCCUUUCUCUUUGUGAGGGUGUUCAGACAAAAUGUUGUAGAAGUUCUGGAUUUCUCCCACUUCACAGUGUCUGUUGCUUGGGAAUAUUUCGUGCAAGGAACCUGAGAAAAUGCCUUCGCCCACACUUUCUUCACAGACUUUCUCCACCCUGUGCUUUUUCUUGUCAUUAUUAUUCCUCUUGUUACAGUAAUUGCUGCUUCUGUGUGUAUCUGUACGAGACAGGACGCUUUUAAACAGUUCCCCAGUGUUUUCAGUGUCACAAGGUAGAAGUUAUUUAUGCAGCUGACAGGAAUGUGUCUAUUGCCUUAGGGAAGGGCUGCAGGAAGCAAGAAAUCGCAGUCAGAAGAGAGCCCUGUCCUCAGAAAAGCAUUUUAGUGACGGACCAGCAGAGGUAUGGAGGGACAAUCCACCUGCCACUUCAUUGCAUUUCUCUCAUCUUAUUUCCCCUUCUAAGUAUUUUUUCUCAGAUAUUAGCAUCUCCUACUUGCUUUGUUUUUCUAUUGUCUUUAUUCAGAGAUAUCUAGCAGGAGGUUGAUGUGUUUCUCAUUCAGUACUGUCAGGUGCAUUGGGAAGAGUGUUAACAGCAGGUUACGUGUUUAUGGCCUCAAGUUGUGCCGGGAGAGAUUCAGGUUGGAUAUUAGGAAAAAUUUCUUCUCCAAAGGUGUGGUCAGAUGCUGAAAUGGGCUGCCCAGAGGGGUGGUGGAGUCACCUUCCCUGGAGGUGUUCAAAAAGGAUUUAGAUGUUGUACUGAGGGACUUGAUUUAGUGGGGAAAUAUUGGUCGUAGGUGGACAGUUAGACUGGAUGAUCUUGGAGGUCUUUUCCAUCCUUGGUGAUUCGAUGAUUCUGUGAUUCAAGAGAGACAAUCCUUCCCCUCUAGUCAGCACUGUUAAGGAUGCACUUGGAGUUCUGGGUCCAUCCAGUUAUGGGCCCCUCAGUACGAGAAAUACCUGGACAUACUGAAGUGUCCAAGAAAGGGAAACCAAAAUGGCAAAUGCUAGAAGCACUUCUGCUAUGAGGAGGGGCUGAGAGAGCCACGGCUGCUCGGCUGGAGAAGAGGACACUCAGGUGGACCUCAUCAAUGCCCAUAAAUACCUGAAGGGAAGGUGCCAAGAGGCUGCAGCCAGGCUCUGUCAGUGGUGCCUGGUGCCAGGACCAGAGGCCAUGGGCACAAACUGAAGCACAGGAGGUUCCCUCUGAACACCAGGAGCCCUUCUGUGCUGUGCAGUGACGGAGCACUGGCACAGGCUGCCCAGAAGCUGUGGGGUCUUCUCCUUGGGGAUCUCCCAGAGCCGCCUGGACGUGGCCCUGGGCACCCUGCUCUGGGUGUCCCUGCUCGGGCAGGGGCUGGAGCAGAGGGACCCAGAGGUCCUGACAGCCUCAGCCGUGUUGUGGUUCUGUGACUCUGUAAUCCCACCCUUUUGACUCCCUGAAAAUCAGCAGAUAAAAACAUUAAAGCGUGGACAGCUGCAGAUGGUGAUUUCUUCAACUGCCACUGACGUGCACUAAUUACUCUACUUGUGCCCCUGUUUGUGGACAUGGAUAGCUUAACCGAAGUGAGGAGAAUCACUCGUGUCCGUAUUAAUACAUCCACUUGAAGAUACUGUUGAACCUGAUUCAAGGUUUUCCACAAAUGAUUUCAUAAAAAUACCACUGGAAAGAGUAACGAGAAGUCAUUCGCUCCAGCCUUGUAGCCAAGGCAGCUCCGAUUGCAUCUGUACCAUCCUGAAGUGGUACUGCCUGUUCAAACCCUCACGGCUGAGAGUUUCUGUCCCUCUAGAGAAUGUAAUCAGUGAACAGCUUAAAUCUGCAGGGCUGAAAUUUUCAUCUCAUUCCUGUGAAUACAGAAAAGGGUCCAUUCCCUGCCUCUUUACUAAUAAUUUUGUGAGCAUUUUGAGGCUACUGUGACACAUUUCUACCCUGGAGUAAACCACCCCCAUUCCCAUCUUGUCACUGACCUCCCAAUGUACACUUCCAAAGCUGACACCUGUGUCUCGCUUGACUUGAGAGUCUCAUGGGAUCAUUAUCCAGCUCAGCCCUCCCCUUUAAUCACUUAAGCCUGGGUGGGCCCGCAGGUGUAAUGACCACGAAUCAGUAUCAAAAGCAAAUUGAUGUACGUGGUGAGUAGCCUAUCUACUGGUCUCUUCCAUCAUCAUAGAAAGAAGUUGGGUUAGUUUGACUUUAUUUGUCCUUCAAGAAGUUUGUUGUUCCUCUCCAUGUUAUAAGUACUCACAAACGUUUUCUUUUCAUGCUGAAGUUUAUUUAAUGGAUCAGUAAUUCCUCAGUUCUUUCUUUUGCUCCUUCUUUUUUUUAAGUUUCACUUCACAAUACAAGAACAACCUGAAAGGAGGUUGUAGCAAGGUGGGAGGCGGCCUCUUCUCCCAGGUAACAGCAAUAGGACGAGAGGUAAUGUUUUUGGGUUGCACCAGUGGAAGUUCAGGUUGGGUAUUAGGAAGAAUUUCUUCUCAGAAAUAGUGAUGAGGCAUUGAAACAGGCUGCACAGGGAUGUGGUGCAGUCACUGUCCAUGGAGGUGUUCAAGAACUGUGUGGAUGUG